GUCGUGGUAGCUCAAGUGGUAGAGCAUCGAACGUGUCAUUCGAAGGUCGCAGGUUCGGAUCCUGCCCACGGCA
rnacentral:tRNA from 1 species